GUGAAUUAUGAAAAAAACUGGAUUUCAAAGGUUUUUGCACAAAAAAACUUGCUUUUCAGUUUUCCUUGAGCUUUUUGAAGUACACUUAUAGAAAGCAUAAAGGGGUAGAUUUCAAUACAUUAAAUGUAAAUAGACUAAAUGCUCCAAUUGAGAUUCCUGCUGAAGCGCUAUGAAAAGUAUGUUUUAACUUGAACAUGCAUGUUUAAAAGGAGGAAUAUAUAAUAAGAAUUUUUAAAGUUUAUAAGUAAAAGGGUAGCAAAAAAUUACCCUGAAAGCAAUAACCUAAAGAAACAAGGUGACUGCUAAAGUUGACCUGUGAAAAUGUACAGCAAAAACCAUACUAGAGAAUAGGAGAGCCAGUUCACAAUGACAAAAGGUUCAUCAGAGAGAUAAAACAAUUCUGAAAUGAUAUGCAGUUAAUAAUAUCCUCAAAACAUACAAAGCAAAUAUAUAAAUAAAUCUUCAAAGUAAGAGAUUUUAAUAAUAAGUAUUUGCUAAAACAAGCAGGCAAAAAAUCAGUUAGGAUAAAGAACAUUUUAACAACACCCAGUUAAUGAGAAAUUACAGAAUAUCAACCAAUAAUUGGACAAUAAAAAUUGUUUUCUCUUUAAGAUUUAUUUAUUUUUUUGAAAGGCAGAGUUAGAGAGAGACAGAGAGAGAGAAGAGACAGAGAGAUCUUCCAUCUGCUGGUUCACUCCCCAAAUGGCCACAACGGCCAGAGCUGGGCCAGGCUGAGGUCAGGAGCUUCCUCCAGGUCUCCCAUGUGGGUGCAGGGGCCCAAGCACUUGGGCCAUCUUCCUCUGCUUUCCCAGGUGCGUUAGCAGAGAGCUGCACUGGAAGUAGAGCAGCUGGGACUUGAACUGGCAUUGCAGGUGAGCUAUGCUACAACACCAGUCCCCCAAAAAUUAUUUUCAAAUACAGUACUUCCCACUUAUCCAUGGUUUCACUUUCUGCUAUUUCAAUUACCUCCAGUGAAUUGCAGUCCAAAAAUAUUAAAUGGAAAAUGCCAGAAACAGACCAUGAAAAAGUUUUCAUCACAAAGCGUUCUGAGUGCUGUGAUGAAAGCUCACAUCAUCAUGCCCCACCCUGCACAAGACACAAAGCAUUCAUCAGCCCAGGGCACCUGGGAUGCACGCUCUAUUCACCACUUUGUGCUCGUCCCUCUGGCCUACAACAACAGAUGGGUUCUUCUUUGCCAGUCACCUGGGGAGUCCUUCCAGCUAGGGGAAACCUGACGGCUGGGAGCCCCCAGGGGCAGGAACCUCAGGAAUGCUCCCUUGGCCUGCAGCAUCCAGCCUGCCUGUAG
rnacentral:lncRNA from 1 species